AGUGAACGCUGGCGGUAGGCCUAACACAUGCAAGUCGAACGGCAGCCCAGUAACUGCUUGCUCUUACGGGUGGUGAGUGGCGGACGGCUGAGGAAUACAUCGGAACCUACUUUUUCGUCGGCUACAACGUAGGGAAACUUACGCUAAUACCGCAUACGACCCACUGGCUAAAGCAGGGGAUCUUCGGACCUUGCGCGUUUGAAUGAGCCGAUGUCGGAUUAGCUAGUUGGCGGGGUAACGGCCCACCAAGGCGACGAUCCGUAGCUGAUCUGAGAGGAUGAUCAGACACACUGGAACAGAGACACGGUCCAGACUACGACGGAAGGCAGCAGUGGAGAAUAUUGGAAAAUGGGCGAGAGUCUGAUCCAGCAAUAGCGCGUAGGUGAAGGAAGAGUUGGAGUUGGAAAGAAGUAUUGUUACGAAAGAAAAGCAGAAGGUUAAGAGGACGAUGGAGUGACGGUACAAAGAGAAUAAGAACCGGAUAACUUCGUG
rnacentral:rRNA from 1 species